CACGUAGGGUGCAAGCGUUGUCCGGAAUCAUUGGGCGUAAAGAGCUCGUAGGCGGCUUAGUAAGUCGGGUGUGAAAACCCCAGGCUCAACCUGGGGACGCCACCCGAUACUGCUAUAGCUAGAGUCCAGUAGGGGAGUGUGGAAUUCCCAGUGUAGCGGUGAAAUGCGCAGAUAUCAGGAGGAACACCGGUGGCGCAGGCGGGUCUCUGGGCCGAUACUGACGCUGAGGAGCGAAAGCGUGGGGAGCGAACAGG
rnacentral:rRNA from 1 species